UCUCCGUAGGUGAACCUGCGGAGGGAUCAUUACAGAGUUCAUGCCCUCACGGGUAGAUCUCCCACCCUUGUGUAUUCAUACCUUUGUUGCUUUGGCAGGCCGCUGGGCUUCGGCCUGGCCACCGGCUCCCGGGCCGGUGCGCGCCUGCCAGGGGACCUCUAAACUCUGUUUGUCAGUGUCGUCUGAGUAUUAUACAAUCGUUAAAACUUUCAACAACGGAUCUCUUGGUUCUG
rnacentral:misc_RNA from 1 species